rnacentral:rRNA from 1 species
GACGAACGCUGGCGGCGUGCCUAAUACAUGCAAGUCGAACGCUGAAGAGAGGAGCUUACUCUUCUUGGAUGAGUUGCGAACGGGUGAGUAACGCGUAGGUAACCUGCCUUGUAGCGGGGGAUAACUAUUGGAAACGAUAGCUAAUACCGCAUAACAAUGGAUGACACAUGUCAUUUAUUUGAAAGGGGCAAUUGCUCCACUACAAGAUGGACCUGCGUUGUAUUAGCUAGUAGGUGAGGUAAUGGCUCACCUAGGCGACGAUACAUAGCCGACCUGAGAGGGUGAUCGGCCACACUGGGACUGAGACACGGCCCAGACUCCUACGGGAGGCAGCAGUAGGGAAUCUUCGGCAAUGGGGGCAACCCUGACCGAGCAACGCCGCGGGAGUGAAGAAGGUUGUCGGAUCGUAAAGCUCUGUUGUAAGUCAAGAACGGGUGUGAGAGUGGAAAGUUCACACUGUGACGGUAGCUUACCAGAAAGGGACGGCUAACUACGUG